GGUUACUGCUAUCGGUGUUCGCCUAAGCCAUGCGAGUCAUAUGUUCUUCGGAACAUGGCGUACUGCUCAGUAACACGUGGAUAACCUGCCCUUGGGUCCGGCAUAACCCCGGGAAACUGGGGAUAAUUCCGGAUAACGCACAUAUGCUGGAAUGCUUUAUGCGUCAAAUGGAUUCGUCCGCCCAAGGAUGGGUCUGCGGCCUAUCAGGUAGUAGUGGGUGUAAUGUACCUACUAGCCUACGACGGGUACGGGUUGUGAGAGCAAGAGCCCGGAGAUGGAUUCUGAGACAUGAAUCCAGGCCCUACGGGGCGCAGCAGGCGCGAAAACUUUACAAUGCGGGAAACCGUGAUAAGGGGACACCGAGUGCCAGCAUCAUAUGCUGGCUGUCCGGGCGUGUAAAAUACACCUGUUAGCAAGGGCCGGGCAAGACCGGUGCCAGCCGCCGCGGUAACACCGGCGGCCCGAGUGGUGAUCGUGAUUAUUGGGUCUAAAGGGUCCGUAGCCGGUUUGGUCAGUCCUCCGGGAAAUCUGACGGCUUAACCGUUAGGCUUUCGGGGGAUACUGCCAGACUUGGAACCGGGAGAGGUAAGAGGUACUACAGGGGUAGGAGUGAAAUCUUGUAAUCCCUGUGGGACCACCUGUGGCGAAGGCGUCUUACCAGAACGGGUUCGACGGUGAGGGACGAAAGCUGGGGGCACGAACCGGAUUAGAUACCCGGGUAGUCCCAGCCGUAAACGAUGCUCGCUAGGUGUCAGGCAUGGCGCGACCGUGUCUGGUGCCGCAGGGAAGCCGUGAAGCGAGCCACCUGGGAAGUACGGCCGCAAGGCUGAAACUUAA
rnacentral:rRNA from 1 species